rnacentral:rRNA from 1 species
GGCCGCGGGAAUUCGAUUGAGUUUGAUCAUGGCUCAGAACGAACGCUGGCGGCAGGCUUAACACAUGCAAGUCGAGCGCCCCGCGAGGGGGAGCGGCAGACGGGUGAGUAACGCGUGGGAAUCUACCCAUCUCUACGGAAUAACUCAGGGAAACUUGUGCUAAUACCGUAUACGCCCUUCGGGGGAAAGAUUUAUCGGAGAUGGAUGAGCCCGCGUUGGAUUAGCUAGUUGGUGGGGUAAUGGCCUACCAAGGCGACGAUCCAUAGCUGGUCUGAGAGGAUGAUCAGCCACACUGGGACUGAGACACGGCCCAGACUCCUACGGGAGGCAGCAGUGGGGAAUAUUGGACAAUGGGCGCAAGCCUGAUCCAGCCAUGCCGCGUGAGUGAUGAAGGCCC